AUGUUUUUAAAAGUUCAUUUUAUUUUUUAACUUUAAUUAUUUAUGUAAAGAAAAAGUCUUAGAAAUCUUACAUAAAGUUAAAAAAUGUAACGGGAUGCUAGACCCCAAAAGAUUUAGAAGCAUUACUCCGAGAACUUCUAGUUUAGAAAUAUUCAGAGUAAGCCACAUACAACUUGCUAUGUGAUCCAUUUUUUUUUCUUUUAGGAUAUGGGGUCUCUGUCACCUAGACUGGAGUGCAGUGGUGCAAUCACAGGUCACUGCAGGCUUGCACUCCUGAGCUAAGGAUCCUCCUGCCACAGCCUCCUGAGUAGCUGGGACUGUAGCUAUAUAUGAUGACACCUGGUUAAUUUUUAAAUGUUUUCAUACACAUUGGAUCUCACUUUGUUGGUCAGGCUGGUGUCAAACUCCUGGCCUCUAGUGACUUUUCCACCCCUGCCUCCCAUCCUAUAGGCAUGAUCCACCACAAGGAGCACUUGUUCAAUUUUCUAAAAAAAUAAAAAUUUCUAAAGUAAGCCUGUGGCAGGAAGAUAAAAGUAAAAAACAGAACACAUUCUAAUGAUUUAUUCCCACAUAUUCUUUUGAAAGCAAGGACUUUUAGUAGACACAUUGUUUACAAAGGCAAAGAAACAAUGUUUUACAGGUACUUCAACACACACUGUAAUGUUCUUACUUGUCUGACAUCGGUUCUUUUUUGUAUUUUUAGUAGAGACGGGGUUUCACCAUGUUGACCAGGAUGGUCUCGAUCUCCUGACCUCGUGAUCCAACUGCCUCAAGUCAAGCUCUUCAGGCCCACCUUGAGCCUUCCGAUGACCUGGACAGGCCCAGCUCUUUCCUCCCAGUGGCCUCUGCAGGCCUAGCUUUUGCCUCACAGGUCCAACUCCUGCCUCCAGUCGGCCCCAAUAGGCUUAAACUCUGCCUCACAGCAGACACCCCAGGCCAAGCGUGUGCCUCACCACAGUGCCCCCAGGCCAAGCUCCUGCCUUUCGGCAGCAUCUGCAGGCCCAGCUAAUGCCUCCCAA
rnacentral:lncRNA from 13 species